AUUGAACGCUGGCGGCAUGCUUUACACAUGCAAGUCGAACGGGCUGGGGGCAACUCCAGUCAGUGGCGAACGGGUGAGUAAUACAUCGGAACGUACCUCGUAGUGGGGGAUAACUCGGCGAAAGCCGUGCUAAUACCGCAUAUGCUCUACGGAGGAAAGCAGGGGACCGUAACAGGCCUUGUGCUAUGGGAGCGGCCGAUGUCCGAUUAGCUAGUUGGUGGGGUAAUGGCUCACCAAGGCGACGAUCGGUAGCUGGUCUGAGAGGAUGAUCAGCCACACUGGGACUGAGACACGGCCCAGACUCCUACGGGAGCAGCAGUGGGGAAUUUGGACAAUGGGGGCAACCCUGAUCCAGCCAUGCCGCGUGCGGGAAGAAGGCCUGGUGUAACG
rnacentral:rRNA from 1 species